rnacentral:rRNA from 1 species
CACCGCGGUUAUACGAGAGGCUCAAGUUGAUAGACAGCGGCGUAAAGAGUGGUUAGGGAAAUAUAUAAACUAAAGUCGAACGCUUCCAUAGCUGUUAUACGCACCCGAAAACAUGAAGCCCAACUACGAAAGUGACUUUAAGACACCUGAACCCACGAAAGCUAGGGAA